rnacentral:rRNA from 1 species
UGCUAGACGUAGUUGAUCCGUGCUCGAGACAACGCUGGCGGCAUGCCUAACACAUGCAAGUCGAACGAGACUUCGGUCUAGUGGCGGACGGGUGAGUAACGCGUAGGAACCUGCCAAGCAGUGGGGAAUAACAGCUGGAAACGGCUGCUAAUACCGCAUGCGCCCUUCGGGGGAAAGAUUUAUCGCUGUUUGAGGGUCCUGCGUUCGAUUAGCUAGUUGGUGAGGUAACGGCCCACCAAGGCGACGAUCGAUAGCUGGUCUGAGAGGAUGAUCAGCCACACUGGGACUGAGACACGGCCAGACUCCUACGGGAGGCAGCAGUGAGGAAUAUUGCGCAAUGGGCGAAAGCCUGACGCAGCGACGCCGCGUGGGGGAUGAAGGUUUUCGGAUUGUAAACCCCUUUCAUGAGGAAAGAUAAAGUGGGUAACCACUUAGACGGUACCUCAAGAAGAAGCCACGGCUAACUUCGUG